rnacentral:rRNA from 2 species
UGGCAUGAAGUCAGACAA